AUACGUAGGGGGCGAGCGUUAUCCGGAAUUAUUGGGCGUAAAGAGUACGUAGGCGGUUCUGUCAGCGUGAGGUGAAAGCCCGGGGCUUAACUCCGGUAAACCUUUCGAACUGCAGGACUUGAGUGCUGGAGGGGAAAGUGGAAUUCCUAGGGUAGCGGUGAAAUGCGUAGAUAUUAGGAGGAACACCAGUGGCGAAGGCGACUUCCUGGACAGUAACUGACGCUGAGGUACGAAAGCGUGGGGAGCAAACAGGAUUAGAUACCCUGGUAGUCCACGCUGUAAACGAUGAGCACUAGGUGUCGGGCUAGCAAUAGUUCGGUGCCGCAGUUAACGCAAUAAGUGCUCCGCCUGGGGAGUACGCACGCAAGUGUGAAACUCAAAUGAAUUGACGGGG
rnacentral:rRNA from 1 species